rnacentral:rRNA from 11 species
GAGUAAAGUUAAUACCUUUGCUCAUUGACGUUACCCGCAGAAGAAGCACCGGCUAACUCCGUGCCAGCAGCCGCGGUAAUACGGAGGGUGCAAGCGUUAAUCGGAAUUACUGGGCGUAAAGCGCACGCAGGCGGUUUGUUAAGUCAGAUGUGAAAUCCCCGGGCUCAACCUGGGAACUGCAUCUGAUACUGGCAAGCUUGAGUCUCGUAGAGGGGGGUAGAAUUCCAGGUGUAGCGGUGAAAUGCGUAGAGAUCUGG